GGCCACCUGGCGCAAUGGUAACGCAUCCGCCUACAAAAAGAUGUCAGCAGGAGGUUGCAAGUUCAAGCCUUGCUGUGGCCA